UACGGGGGGGGCAAGCGUUGUUCGGAAUUACUGGGCGUAAAGGGCUCGUAGGCGGCCAACUAAGUCAGACGUGAAAUCCCCAGGCUCAACCUGGGAACUGCCUUUGAUACUGGCGAUCUUGAGUCCGGGAGAGGCGAGUGGAACUGCGAGUGUAGAGGUGAAAUUCGUAGAUAUUCGCAAGAACACCAGUGGCGAAGGCGGCUCACUGGCCCGGUACUGACGCUGAGGUGCGAAAGCGUGGGGAGCAAACAGG
rnacentral:rRNA from 1 species